AACGAACGCUGGCGGCAUGCCUAACACAUGCAAGUCGAACGAGACCUUCGGGUCUAGUGGCGCACGGGUGCGUAACGCGUGGGAACCUGCCUUUAGGUUCGGAAUAACUCAGAGAAAUUUGAGCUAAUACCGGAUGAUGUCUUCGGACCAAAGAUUUAUCGCCUUUAGAUGGGCCCNCGUUGGAUUAGCUAGUUGGUGGGUAAAGGCCUACAAGGCGACGAUCCAUAGCUGGUCUGACGAGGAUGAUCAGCCACACUGGGACUGAGACACGGCCCAGACUCCUACGGGAGGCAGCAGUGGGGAA
rnacentral:rRNA from 1 species